rnacentral:rRNA from 1 species
CGCACAGANUGGAUAACACCUGGAAACAGAUGCUAAUACCGGAUAACAACAGAUGAUGCCUAUCAACUGUUUAAAAGAUGGUUCUGCUAUCACUCUUGGAUGGACCUGCGGUGCAUUAGCUAGUUGGUAGGGUAACGGCCUACCAAGGCGAUGAUGCAUAGCCGAGUUGAGAGACUGAUCGGCCACAUUGGGACUGAGACACGGCCCAAACUCCUACGGGAGGCAGCAGGC